rnacentral:rRNA from 1 species
GACGAACGCUGGCGGCGUGCCUAAUACAUGCAAGUAGAACGCACAGUUUAUACCGUAGCUUGCUACACCAUAGACUGUGAGUUGCGAACGGGUGAGUAACGCGUAGGUAACCUGCCUGGUAGCGGGGGAUAACUAUUGGAAACGAUAGCUAAUACCGCAUAAUAUUGAUUAUUGCAUGAUAAUUGAUUGAAAGAUGCUAUUGCAUCACUACCAGAUGGACCUGCGUUGUAUUAGCUAGUAGGUGAGGUAACGGCUCACCUAGGCGACGAUACAUAGCCGACCUGAGAGGGUGGUCGGCCACACUGGGACUGAGACACGGCCCAGACUCCUACGGGAGGCAGCAGUAGGGAAUCUUCGGCAAUGGACGAAAGUCUGACCGAGCAACGCCGCGUGAGUGAAGAAGGUUUUCGGAUCGUAGAGCUCUGUUGUAAGAGAAGAACGGGUGUGAGAGUGGAAAGUUCACACUGUGACGGUAUCUUACCAGAAAGGGACGGCUAACUACGUG